rnacentral:rRNA from 1 species
GGACGAACGCUGGCGGCGUGCUUAACACAUGCAAGUCGAGCGGUAAGGCCCUUUCGGGGGUACACGAGCGGCGAACGGGUGAGUAACACGUGGGUGACCUGCCCUCAGCUCUGGGAUAAAGCCCUGGGAAACCGGGUCUAAUACUGGAUAUGACUCCAUGACGCAUGUUAGUGGGGUGAAAGCCUUGUGCGGCUGAGGAUGGGCCC